rnacentral:lncRNA from 12 species
CUAACAGAUAAGCAAACGGUAACGGCAACAGAAGUGAAAAGGAAAGAUGGAAUUUCAGCUAAGGAUAAACCAUCUUGAAUUGGCUAAUUUACAUUCCAGAAUUCUAGGAAGGCUCCAGAACUGAGGACAUCAGAUUCAUCUCUGUUCAGGAUGAGGUGGAAAAUGGGUUAGCCCUUCCCCAGAACCAGACAUAGCAGCCUUCACUUUCAUCCAAGUCUGAGUUGCAUUAGAGCUCUGGACUCUGAAAAGCAGGCAAAAUUAAUACAAGAUGGCAAAUUCACGGUUUCUGCUGACUCAUCGCACAGGAGGUGUUUCUUUAUGUGGACUUUAUCUUUCAUUGAAAGCUCAUUUUCAGUGUCCUAUCAAUCAUCAUCCAACCGUAUGUUUGGCGUACUGGAUAAAUCAAGAAAAAAAAAUGAUGUUUGUUCCUGCUGGGCUCUUCAAUGGUAUUAUCAAACCAGUGUCAGUUUUUAUAUUAAUUUCUGGGCUUGUCAUUCACCUUAACAUGUGACUAAUUUAAAUUUGUUGUUCAUAUCUAUGCAAGGGGAG